rnacentral:rRNA from 1 species
AUUGAACGCUGGCGGCAGGCUUAACACAUGCAAGUCGAGCGAGCGGCGGACGGGUGAGUAAUGUCUGGGAAACUGCCUGAUGGAGGGGGAUAACUCCUGGAAACGGUAGCUAAUACCGCAUACCAUCAGAGGUGCCCAGAUGGUAUUAGCUAGUAGGUGGGGUAAUGGCUCACCUGGGAGACGAUCCCUAGCUGGUCUGAGAGGAUGACCAGCCACACUGGAACUGGGCCACGGGCCAGACUCCUACGGGAGUCAGCAGGUGGGAAUAUUGCACUAUGGGCGCAAGCCUGAUGCAUCCAUGCCGCGUGUGUGAGGAAGGCCGUCGGGUUGUAAAUCACUUGCAGCGAGGAGGCGUUACUCGCAGAAGAAGCACCGGCUAACUCCGUGCCAGCAGCCGCGGUAAUAC